AGGGUUGCAGGUUCCUUUUGUCAAUUUUUCCCAAGCUUCCUCCGGUGUUUUUAAUUUUAAAAAAUUAACAUUAAUGACCAAAAGGGUGAGGAUGUUCGACCUGUCAAUGAUUGUCAACAGGUUGUGGCUUCGGUUCUACGGGCAGCAACAUGGCUACUACCAUAUUUCAAUGAAUCACCAUGAGAAAUUUUCACAUGCCUAGACCCAACUUCAAGCAAGGUAUGACCAGUUUCAGUUAGUCAUAUCGUUUCCAAUUUGGCCACAAGAAGUUUGUCAUUGAUUAUCAUAUUGCUCCCAUCCAUGGUGAAAAAACAACACCGAUAGAAGCGAUAUGACUAACGAACGAUGGAUUAUGCG
rnacentral:lncRNA from 1 species